UACGUAGGGUGCAAGCGUUAAUCGGAAUUACUGGGCGUAAAGCGUGCGCAGGCGGUUUUGUAAGUCUGACGUGAAAUCCCCGGGCUUAACCUGGGAAUUGCGUUGGAGACUGCAAGGCUGGAGUCUGGCAGAGGGGGGUAGAAUUCCACGUGUAGCAGUGAAAUGCGUAGAGAUGUGGAGGAACACCGAUGGUGAAGGCAGCCCCCUGGGUCAAGACUGACGCUCAUGCACGAAAGCGUGGGGAGCAAACAGG
rnacentral:rRNA from 1 species